UCUUAGGCGAUGAUGAGAAAGAGUACAAAAAGGAAUUGCGACAAGCGAGGAUGGGGUAGUGGAAGCCAUUUGCAAGGAAUUUUUAGAAGUGCGUCUCGGAGUUGAUUGGAAGAAGGGAAAGUAUUCCGAUCCGUCGUAACUGCGUUAAAGUUAUAAGCUGGAACGACAUGGUCGUUCAAUCAGAGUGGGACCGCGGAACCUUUCGUCUCUGGA
rnacentral:ncRNA from 1 species